rnacentral:tRNA from 9 species
GCCGCCUUAGCUCAUCUGGUAGAGCACUUGUCUUGUAAACAAGAGGUGGUCGGUUCGAGACCGACAGGCGGCUC